UGGGGAAUUUUGGACAAUGGGCGCAAGCCUGAUCCAGCAAUGCCGCGUGCAGGAUGAAGGCCUUCGGGUAGUAAACUGCUUUUGUACGGAACGAAACGGCUCUGUCUAAUACAUGGGGCUAAUGACGGUACCGUAAGAAGAAGCACCAGCUAACUACGUGCCAGCAGCCGCGGUAAUACGUAGGGUGCGAGCGUUAAUCGGAAUUACUGGGCGUAAAGCGUGCGCAGGCGGUUAUGUAAGACAGAUGUGAAAUCCCCGGGCUCAACCUGGGAACUGCGUUUGUGACUGCGUAACUAGAGUACGGCAGAGGGAGGUGGAAUUCCGCGUGUAGCAGUGAAAUGCGUAGAGAUGCGGAGGAACACCGAUGGCGAAGGCAAUCCCCUGGACCUGUACUGACGCUCAUGCACGAAAGCGUGGGGAGCAAACA
rnacentral:rRNA from 1 species